rnacentral:rRNA from 1 species
UGGGUAGCAAACAGGAUUAGAUACCCUGGUAGUCCACGCCGUAAACGAUGUCGACCAGCCGUUGGGUGCCUAGCGCACUUUGUGGCGAAGUUAACGCGAUAAGUCGACCGCCUGGGGAGUACGGCCGCAAGGUUAAAACUCAAAUGAAUUGACGGGGGCCCGCACAAGCGGUGGAGCAUGUGGUUUAAUUCGAUGCAACGCGAAGAACCUUACCUACUCUUGACAUCCUGCGAAUUUGGUAGAGAUACCUUAGUGCCUUCGGGAACGCAGAGACAGGUGCUGCAUGGCUGUCGUCAGCUCGUGUUGUGAAAUGUUGGGUUAAGUCCCGUAACGAGCGCAACCCUUGUCCUUAUUUGCCAGCGCGUAAUGGCGGGAACUCUAAGGAGACUGCCGGUGACAAACCGGAGGAAGGUGGGGACGACGUCAAGUCAUCAUGGCCCUUACGAGUAGGGCUACACACGUGCUACAAUGGUCGGUACAAAGGGUUGCCAACUCGCGAGAGUGAGCCAAUCCCGAAAAGCCGAUCUCAGUCCGGAUCGGAGUCUGCAACUCGACUCCGUGAAGUCGGAAUCGCUAGUAAUCGUGGAUCAGAAUGCCACGGUGAAUACGUUCCCGGGCCUUGUACACACCGCCCGUCACA